GACGAACCGUGCGAACGUUGUUCGGAUUCACUGGGCUUAAAGGGCGCGUAGGCGGCGGCUCAAGUCGGGGGUGAAAUCCUCUCGCUUAACGAGAGAAUUGCUUUCGAUACUGGGUCGCUGGAGGGAGAUAGGGGUGCGCGGAACUUCCGCUGGAGCGGUGAAAUGCGUAGAUAUCGGAAGGAACGCCGGUGGCGAAGGCGGGUCUCUGGGCCGAUACUGACGCUGAGGAGCGAAAGCGUGGGGAGCGAACAGG
rnacentral:rRNA from 1 species